rnacentral:rRNA from 1 species
GGAAUCUUCCACAAUGGGCGAAAGCCUGAUGGAGCAACGCCGCGUGUGUGAUGAAGGCUUUCGGGUCGUAAAGCACUGUUGUAUGGGAAGAACAGCUAGAAUAGGAAAUGAUUUUAGUUUGACGGUACCAUACCAGAAAGGGACGGCUAAAUACGUGUCAG